AAAUUUGAAAUCUGGCGUCUUCGACGUCCGAGUUGUAAUUUGUAGAGGAUGCUUCUGAGUAACCACCGACCUAAGUUCCUUGGAACAGGACGUCAUAGAGGGUGAGAAUCCCGUAUGCGGUCGGAAAGGUGCUCUAUACGUAGCUCCUUCGACGAGUCGAGUUGUUUGGGAAUGCAGCUCUAAAUGGGAGGUAAAUUUCUUCUAAAGCUAAAUAUUGGCCAGAGACCGAUAGCGCACAAGUAGAGUGAUCGAAAGAUGAAAAGCACUUUGGAAAGAGAGUUAAAAAGCACGUGAAAUUGUUAAAAGGGAAGGGAUUGCAACCAGACUUGCUCGCGGUGUUCCGCCGGUCUUCUGACCGGUCUACUCGCCGCGUUGCAGGCCAGCAUCGUCUGGUGCCGCUGGAUAAGACUUGAGGAAUGUAGCUCCCUCGGGAGUGUUAUAGCCUCUUGUGAUGCAGCGAGCGCCGGGCGAGGUCCGCGCUUCGGCUAGGAUGCUGGCGUAAUGGUCGUAAUCCGCCCGUCUUGAAACACGGACCAAGGAGUCUAACAUCUAUGCGAGUGUUCGGGUGUCAAACCCCUACGCGUAAUGAAAGUGAACGGAGGUGAGAACCGCAAGGUGCAUCAUCGACCGAUCCUGAUGUCUUCGGAUGGAUUUGAGUAAGAGCAUAGCUGUUGGGACCCGAAAGAUGGUGAACUAUGCCUGAAUAGGGUGAAGCCAGAGGAAACUCUGG
rnacentral:rRNA from 1 species